rnacentral:rRNA from 1 species
UGGGGAAUAUUGCACAAUGGGCGCAAGCCUGAUGCAGCCAUGCCGCGUGUGUGAAGAAGGCCUUCGGGUUGUAAAGCACUUUCAGCGGGGAGGAAGGCGAUAAGGUUAAUAACCUUGUCGAUUGACGUUACCCGCAGAAGAAGCACCGGCUAACUCCGUGCCAGCAGCCGCGGUAAUACGGAGGGUGCAAGCGUUAAUCGGAAUUACUGGGCGUAAAGCGCACGCAGGCGGUUUGUUAAGUCAGAUGUGAAAUCCUCGGGCUCAACCUGGGAACUGCAUCUGAUACUGGCAAGCUUGAGUCUCGUAGAGGGGGGUAGAAUUCCAGGUGUAGCGGUGAAAUGCGUAGAGAUCUGGAGGAAUACCGGUGGCGAAGGCGGCCCCCUGGACGAAGACUGACGCUCAGGUGCGAAAGCGUGGGGAGCAAACAGG